rnacentral:rRNA from 1 species
ACGCUCGACACCUACGGGAGGAAGCAGUGGGGAAUAUUGCACAAUGGGGGAAACCCUGAUGCAGCGACGCCGCGUGGAGGAAGAAGGUCUUCGGAUUGUAAACUCCUGUUGUUGGGGAAAAAGAGGAUGGUACCCAACAAGGAAGUGACGGCUAACUACGUGCAGCAGCCGCGGUAAUCUGAGCGGGCUGGCAAGGC